UACGGAGGGGGCUAGCGUUAUUCGGAAUUAUUGGGCGUAAAGGGCGUGUAGGCGGCUCUGUGUGUCCCAUGUGAAAGCCCUCGGCUCAACCGGGGAACUGCAUGGGAAACUGCGGAGCUUGAGUCCGGGAGAGGUGAGUGGAAUUCCCAGUGUAGCGGUGAAAUGCGUAGAUAUUGGGAGGAACACCAGUGGCGAAGGCGGCUCACUGGACCGGUACUGACGCUGAGGCGCGAAAGCUAGGGGAGCAAACGGG
rnacentral:rRNA from 1 species